rnacentral:rRNA from 1 species
CAGCAGCCACGGGAAUACGUAGGGUGCGAGCGUUAAUCGGAAUUACUGGGCGUAAAGCGGGCGCAGACGGUUACUUAAACAGGAUGUGAAAUCCCCGGGCUCAACCUGGGAACUGCGUUCUGAACUGGGUGACUAGAGUGUGUCAGAGGGAGGUAGAAUUCCACGUGUAGCAGUGAAAUGCGUAGAGAUGUGGAGGAAUACCGAUGGCGAAGGCAGCCUCCUGGGAUAACACUGACGUUCAUGCCCGAAAUCGUGGGUAGCAAACAGGAUUAGAUACCCGCGUAGUCCCUGUCUCUUAUAC